rnacentral:rRNA from 1 species
CAGAGGUCCCAAGCGUUGUUCGGAUUCACUGGGCGUAAAGGGUGCGUAGGUGGUGAGGUAAGUCGGAUGUGAAAGCUCGGAGCUCAACUCCGAAAUGGCAUUGGAAACUACCUUGCUCGAGGGUUGGAGGGGGGACUGGAAUACUUGGUGUAGCAGUGAAAUGCGUAGAUAUCAAGUGGAACACCAGUGGCGAAGGCGAGUCCCUGGACAACUCCUGACACUGAGGCACGAAAGCUAGGGGAGCAAACAGGAUUAGAUACCCUGGUAGUCCUAGCCGUAAACGGUGCACGUUUGCUGUAAGAGGAAUCGACCCCUCUUGUGGCGUAGCCAACGCGUUAAACGUGCCGCCUGGGAAGUACGGUCGCAAGAUUA